GCCGUCUUAGCUCAGUGGUAGAGCGCGUGGCUUUUAACCACGUGGUCGUGGGUUCGGUCCCCACAGACGGCG
rnacentral:tRNA from 1 species